AUACGGAGGAUCCGAGCGUUAUCCGGAUUUAUUGGGUUUAAAGGGAGCGUAGGUGGAUUGUUAAGUCAGUUGUGAAAGUUUGCGGCUAAACCGUAAAAUUGCAGUUGAAACUGGCAGUCUUGAGUACAGUAGAGGUGGGCGGAAUUCGAGGUGUAGCGGUGAAAUGCUUAGAUAUAACGAAGAACUCCGAUUGCGAAGGCAGCUCACUAGACGGUUACUGACACUGAUGCUCGAAAGUGUGGGUAUCAAUCAGGAUUAGAUACCCUGUUAGUCCACACAGUAAACGAUGAAUACUCGCUGUUUGCGAUACACGGUAAGCGGCCAAGCGAAAGCGUUAAGUAUUCCACCUGGGGAGUACGCCGGCAACGGUGAAACUCAAAGGAAUUGACGGGG
rnacentral:rRNA from 1 species